rnacentral:lncRNA from 1 species
CCGUGAUUUGCAAAUGGUAGUUCACAGUUCUCCAAGACAAGACCCACGAAAGUAGAGGGUACAUCCACCUGAUUCGAUAUCAAUCUCAGUAAGUUCCACGUUAGAAAAAAAGACUAAUCCACCAGAGAGAGAAGAGAGGAGGACGUUAGGUUUGCAGAGAGAGCGACGCAAGUUGGAGAAACAACCAUCACAUACAACUGUGAGAGGAGCAUAUAAUCUAAGCUCAUUGCCCUCUUUGGUCUUGUACUGAACCCCUUUGACCGUCCCGUUCUCUUCAAGAAGAGACGUAACUGUUCCUUGCUCCAAUCGUACACUGAAACCACAAAUAAAAGCAUUAGAAUAAAGCAGAACCGCAUUCGAAUAACAAAAAAACAAAAAUGAUUACUUUGAAAGAGUAGCGGCUUUGUCUCGCAUUCUCUGCACAAAUCUCCCAUUGUGGAAGCUUCUCCCGGAGACAUCCGAAUCAAACGCUUCCAAGGGGUAAGAAAGCUUAGUGUGCUUCCCGUCUUUGAAGAGAGCAUAACCAAGAACUCGUUGAGCAUCUAUCUCCUUCACACAAUCUACACAAUGAAACACUAUUAACAUACACCUACCAAAUUCCAAUCCAAGUAUAUGUAUAAAAUUCAAGAAUCAAAGAUCAUUGGUUUACCCUCAAGGCUGAGCUCAAUUAACUUCAAGUAACCACCAGGUUGAAGCAACUCACCAACGAUCCUGUCUUGCUCAGACAAGUCUCUUUCUAUAACGUGAACUCUACGUCCUUCCUAUAACAACACAAUAAAGGCCAAUAAGCAAACAAUAACUUACGUCUUUGAACACACACAUUUGGAGCAAUGAUGCAUAUAUAUCUCCAACGUCCUGGAACUACUAUAGAUCACACCAAUAUUGUGAUCUGAGAUAAACUACAAUACAAACUAUAUAAAUUAAUACUCGGAAAAAUUAAUAAAUAACUGAAGGUACAUCAAACACAUACACAUAAACAAACAAAAAUUGAGUUUUGUCUAACUGAUUCAAGCACACACAUUUCACUAAGAAACAAGCAUAUCUAUCUCCAUUAUUGUGAUCCGAAUUAAACUAUAAUCAUUCUUAGUGAUUUAUCAUUAAAAAUUAGAUAAAUUAAAUUACAUUGUUGCCAAAAAAAUAUAUUUAAAUCCUAAAUGUCUACACGAAAAGCAAAAGUGUUGUAGAAAAUUUCCAGAAAUAGAAAGUAAAUUGAGAAUCACACGAAUCUGAAAAAAAAAGCUGAUUCUACAAGACUUGCCUUGCCGAGAGUAUGAGCGAGAGCGGCACCAGCAACACCAGCUCCGACGAUUAUAACAUCGAUGCCUGAAUCAUCCUCCUCCGUAGAUACGGGAUCGUUCUGAGAAGAAACGACGACGAGGCCGCGAUUCAUCUUACUCCGAUUCGAAUCCGCAUCGUCUUUACGAUUACGACUACUCCGGCGCAAGACGAAUUCAAGCACUAACGCGAACAGAGAAGCGAAGAACGUAGCUAGAAUGAAUUGAUCGAAUUCAAUCGCCGGCGCCAUUAUCACCGUCCCUGCAGAGAUCAGAGAAGCGCGAUCGUGUCCGUCUUUCUUGCGGCGAGGAAAGGCGGCUCCGGUGGUUAAGGAAGUGUUUCCGAGACGACGCGUGGAGAGAGAGAGACGAGGAGGAGAGAGAAAGGGAGAUCCAAGAGAUGCGGUGGUUGUUGUUAAUCCAAGUCGUGGAAGGUUCUGGAUAACGGCCAGUUUCAUAGUUUUUGUUUAGUCGAAUUAUUUGCUGGACUUGUAACAGAUUUUUAUUUUGCUGAGUAACGUCCACGGUUAAGUUUAUCUUUUCUCGUGUGGGCCUUAAUGAGAAAACCCAUCAAGGGUGAUGAGAACUUGAAGCCCUCUUAUUCUACGCCAUUUGUACUAUAGCCCCAUUCUCUAAAAUAUAUACAAUGAUGAUGGUAGAUUUUGGUAAAGAUAUUGGCGUAUUAAAACUCAUACGGUACGUGUAAGACCUUAACCUCACCUAGUGCGACCUUCUCUCUGACAAAAUGAAUGUCUAGCUCAACGUGUUUCAUCCUUUGUGUUUAAAGUGAGUUUGGUCUCGGGUGAAGUAAACAAUACUAAAAAUGGAUCGAACAUAAGCGUUUAUUAGAUUUCGAGAUGAGGUUACAAAGGUGGAGAAAGUAAUGGCAAGCUGGAGCUCGUGAGAGCUUAAACCGGAAAAGUACAAAUAGCAGAGAGAUGAUUGUACGGACAAUAAACCCUAAUCUCGCCGCUAAGUUUGUGUAGCCAAGUGUCGAUACCCUUUCUCCUUUGCUUUCCUCUCUUUUUAUAGUCUUUAUCUGAUCGACUUAACCUAAUUCAUUUUUAAUUGAUUGGGCCUUGUCGGCCUUUCGGGCCUGGCUAGUGAAUGUUCGUCCCGAGCUGCUAAGUCGAUCACGCUCUGUCUGCUCUCUGUUCGACUAAAAGCAGUCUAUAGUCGAGUCGAAACUCCGAAUAUCGGCUUCCGAGCCGACGACUAUUCGGCUUAUCGGAUUGGGCCUUUUGUUCGAUGGGCUUUGUGGAUGGGUUCAAUCCAUCCCCAACACUUUGAUGCUUGACAGGGUUGGAAAAUAAAUGACUAAGAUGAUGUUGUCAUAAAAUAUGAGUGUAGCACGAGUAAUCAGUUGAUGAAGUUCAAGGACUUAGUUUCAUAGCCAACAUGUCUCAGAAACUGUGUUGGCUACUCCAUUGUAUUCAAUUUAUUAACAGAAAGAAAGCCUGGCGGAUCUUAACCAAUCCAGAAAGCCUAGCAUAAGAGAUAUCCAGUUGUUCAAUAUCGCCCUACUCGCGAAGAAAGCCUGGCGGAUCUUAACCAAUCCAGAAUGCCUCCUAGCUCGAGUUCUAGUGGGGAAGUACUGCCAAAAUAAAAGUCUCCUAUCAGUAACUCCGACGACUUCUUGCUCACAUGGAUGGAAGAGUCUACUUCUCGGCUGAUAUUUACUCGCAACUCAAAUAGCAAAGGCUAUUGGCGAUGGAAGUACAACGCGUGUGGUCUGAUCGCUGGAUACUAACUGACUCUCUUGGUACUCCUUUCAGACCGACAAAGAAAGUAGACCAGGAUAUCAUGGUGUCUGGCCUGCUGUGUAGAGGAACAAAUGAAUGGAAUGCUGCAAGGGUCAAGAGCCUAUUCCCGCUAAUUGCAGAGAAAAUACUGAGCAUCAGACCUAGUAUAUUUGGAGCCAUUGACAUAUAUGUGUGGCCACUGAACACAAAUGGAACUACUCGGCAAAAUCAGGCUAUCUCACAGCUGUUAAAAACCAAACAACUCUCGACACUGAAAGUCAGUUACUCGAGUUGGAAUGGACAAAAAAAGUAUGGCCAGCACCUUGUAUCCCAAAGAUCAAAAUUUUUGCAUGGAAACUGUGUCAAGGUGCCCUCCCCCUUGGAGCAAAUCUGGAAAAAGGGGAUUUGGAGCCAAUGUUAGAUGCCCUAGAUGUGGAGAGCGAGAAACAGCUGAACACUUAAUCUUACACUGUCGUUUUGCCAAGGAAACCUGGUGAAAUAGUCCCCUUCACACAGAACUUUAAUACAAGCAACAUAGCUCGUUGAAUGAUGCAAUCUUAACUGGAUUGAAACUGGUCUGCACAAGAUAGACACCAAGGUUCUUCUUUCUUCGAGCAUACACGAUCACCACUGAUCGGAGAAGCGCUUGCGGUGCGUUCAGCAUUCUCCCAUGCCCUGGACUUGGGAAUCAAUAGAGUCUGUGUAUACUCAGACUGUCAACUGCUCGUCAGAGCAAUCUCGUCGAAAUCACCACCGGUAGAAAACAUCAACAUCUUUUCCUUGCAAUUUGAUGUUUUCUCCCUGUCUUUUAUUUAUAGAAUGAUUCUGCUGUUUCGCUAGCGAAAAUAGCAUUAUGUAAUACCUACCUUGUGUAGGACAACUCCUACUUACUGAUGAAUGUUUUUAUGUGUUAAAAAAAAGGGUAUAUAUUAAGGUUAAAAGAAAACCUAGCUUCGCCCUGAUUACUAUCAUAUUCCCAAUCUUAUUGGCCAAAUGAGUCAUAUCUCACUCUCAUUCAUAUUAUCAUCACUCUCCCAAAAUUAAACCGUAAUUCUGAAACCAUAUCAAAUUUAGCCAUCAUGUUUACGUGGUUUGGAUAUAUAUAUCUGAUAAUCAGUCACGCGUAAACUAUCAAUAGUAUUAAAUAUUCAAAUAACACGCUUUUGAGUUUGGUGCGUUCCAAUAGGGAUGAUAUCACCAACUCAUCAUACGUGUGGUGGGGGGACGUAUCGCUUGUGGUAAGAUUGUUUGUUCAUAUUCAAAUGUGAAUGUAUUUUAAAAGAAAAUAGAUAGACAUGCCUUUAAUAAGUGGAUGAUUAUCAUUCUACCAUCCCACGUUUCGUACACGCCGACUAUAUAUUCUUUUCUUCUACUUAUGGGGUUUGGUUCAAUUCCACCACUAACACUAUGCGCAAGUGUGAAAGAAUAUUAUCUUCUUCCACUUUCAAUCUUAGCGGUCAAAUGAGUCAACCAAAACUCCAUAAUUAGACUCUCUCUUUUUGUUUAUUAAAUAAACAUUUGAGGUUAUCAACGUGCGCGUUAAUUUCGGUUUGGAAGAAAAAAUGAUAAAAAAAAACAAAAAUAGAGUUGACUAAUUUUCCUAUAAAUAUCAAGUUUUAAAGAAACCAAACCCGUCAUCAAAUCAUCUCUUUUACAUAUAUUUCUCCACCGAAGAAAACAUCAUAAAAAUGGCAAACUUCUCUGCUCUUCUCACGAUAACUCUCCUCCUUUGCUCCACGCUGAUGUGCACCGCCCGUCCCGACCCGACCUUUUCGGCCUCUAUCACAAUUGUUACGGCUGACCCGCUGGUUAGUCACAUUCCAUGAGUCCAUUUCCACAUAUAUAUAUAUUAUAUGUGCAUGUCGUAAUCAUAAUAAAAUGUAUAUAUCAGAGCUUGUAAUAUUAGCGAAACUUUUUAAAGAUAUUAUAAACUUUUGUACAUGUAGUUUGAUAUGUCCUAAUGUAUGAUUUAGGAAAAGAGCAUAGAAGGAAAACUGGAUGAUGUGGCAGAAGAGAACUGUGGUGCUAACGACGAAGAUUGCUUAAUGAGGAGGUCUUUGGUUGCUCAUGUUGAUUACAUCUAUACCCAGAAACAGAAGAAGAAUCUUUGAUAUUGCCGUGAUUUGCAAAUGGGAGUUCACAGUUCUCCAAGACAAGACCCACGAAAGUAGAGGGUACAUCCACCUGAUUAUAUAUCAAUCUCAGUAAGUUCCACGUUAGAAAAGACUAAUCUACCAGAGAGAGAAGAGAGGAGGACCUUAGGUUUGCAGAGAGAGCGACGCAAGUUGGAGAAACAACCAUCACAUACAACUGUGAGAGGAGCAUAUAAUCUAAGCUCAUUGCCCUCUUUGGUCUUGUACUGAACCCCUUUGACCGUCCCGUUCUCUUCAAGAAGAGACGUAACUGUUCC